CUUAUCUCAGCCGGGGCCUGUGUGGAGGAAGGAAGAAAAUGAAAGGACUUAAUUAAGGCGCAGAGGAGUGGAGAGGGAACCGCCUCGUCAUCUCUGGCUCCCACCCUCUGAAGACAGCACUCCACAGCAGAGUCCAGGGAGACAGCUGCUUAGGGGUUCUACUCAGGCCAUAGCCCUCUGCAGGGGAACUCAGGAUGAGAUGGCGAAGAUCAGAGACUCACAGGGCUCAGCUACAGCUUGUCUCAAUGUACCCACCUGACUCUUCCCUGCCCAGCCCACCCCAACACUGAUCAGGCUUGGCCCUGGCUGCAGGCAGUGAGCUGAGACCAUGAGCUGAGGGGGCUCUGCCACCGGGCCACAGAUUUCAUGUUCUUUCAGAAACAUUCCAUGGCUGGACUUCUCCUUGAUUGGCGAGUGAGCUCUCUGGGCCUCAAUUUUCUUUUCAAUACUUUGGAAAUAAUCAUGAGACCUCACUUGUGUGGCUGUGAGGUUUAGCAUUACUUGGGCAGCACAGGAAGACGAGUCUCCAUUUCCGGAAGCUGGAAAGUCUGCUUCCAUUGUAGAGAGCAGAAUGAGGUCCCCAGAGGCCAGAGGGGUACGAGAUGGGGGAGAGAAAGAAGAGAAACUCAAGACCCAGAGAGGUUACUUUCCUUGCUUAACACCACCCAGCCAGAAUGGCAGUCUUACUCAAGACCUUGGCAACUACUUGUGACAAGAACUUAACUCCUUCUGGCUCACAGAUAAAUGAGAACUCACUACUCUGAAGCCUCUGAAGAUGGCUGGGUCCAAGAGUCCAUGCGAUGAUUCCAGCAAUUCCUGCCUCCUCAGUGUGAUGAUUGGCAACUGAGACUGUCACCCCAAGAAGAAAGAGUGCAGAGGUUCAAGGCCCUGUCUCCGAGGUCGGCUUACGUGGGCCAGCCUAUCUAUCCCUGACUGCUUUGUUCUGUGUGGCUCUAGGCAUACCCAUCAUCUUCUCUGGCCUCAGUUUUCCUGUCUGUAAAAUGAGGAUAAAAAUAGCAUUCAAUGCGUAGGGUAGGGCUGUUGUGAAGAUUGGAUGACCUCUGAGUGUCGAGGGUUAAGGAGUCUUGAUUGGAAAAAGAUCGUCCUGAGGAAGAGCCCCGCAGGCCCAUAAGAAUACAUUGCAGCAUCCUAAGCCAGUCACUGUGGCUGGGGGAGGCCACUGGUCCUCCCCAGUGCAGUGGUCCAAAAAUGGCAGGAAGAGGAGUGGAGGCAUGUCACCAGCAGGGGACCACUAACACUGCAGAGCUGGGACUUAAAGCCAGAUUUUAAUCCCCUCUCAAGCAUGCAAUCAUGGAUUCCUUUUCUUCUUUUUAUUUAUUUUUAAACGUAUAUAGUUUGCUUAUAUAUAAAGUUUGCUUUUUUUUUUUUAUUACCAUGUUCAGUUCUAGGUGUUUAAAUACAUGCAUGGUUCCUUGGAACUGCCACUACAGACUGGACUCAGAGCAAUCACCAAACCCUAAAGUGGUCCCUCAUGUUGGGACUUUUGGAUCCAGUCCUUCCUCAUCCUUUUCCCUGUCCAACCACUCAGCUAUGUUGUGUACCUGUCAAAUUCCCCCUCUUCCCCAGAAUGUUAUACAAAUAGAACCAGCGGUUUGGAGUCUUGAGAUUGAAACAUUUCAGGAUUCCCCCAUAGAACUGUAGUAAUAGUUAGUUCCUGUUCUUCGCUGUGUAAUACUCCACUGUAUGACUGUGUCUCGUUUUGUUCAUCUAUUCAGCAGAUUAAGAAUGUAUAGUUCAGCACCCUUGAUGAAGCAUGAGAACUACACUUGUCUUAAUCAGGGUGACUACGGCUGUGAUGAAACGGCAUGACCAAAAGCAUCUUAGGGAGGACAAGGGUUAUUUAGCUUACUCUGUACACCACUGUUCAUCACCAAAGGAAGUCAGGGCAGGAACUCAAGCAGAGCAGGAAC